CCUAAAGCCCACAAAUUUUCUCUAUAAAUAGAGACAUUUGUCAUUCAUUUGAGAGGGGGUCUCUCGUUGAAGGAAUAAUUGAAGCUCUGAAGUACUGAAGCUCUGAAGAAUUGAAGAUUCAAACUUCUAUAAAGCUCUCAAGACGUGCAAGUUUUUAUCAACUUCGAGAUCAUCAUCUUCUGAAAGAUUGAAGACUUGGAAGAUCAAACUUUCCUUGAAUUCCAGAAGAUUGAAGCUCAAAUAGACUUGCAACUACAACAUCCUAAAGACCGAAGAUCAAGAAAUUCUAAGUUUUUAACUUGUAUUCGAGAGAAAGCAUCAAAGGAGGAAAUACUAGAGAUUGUAUUCACAAUAUUCAUCAAUAUACAAAUUUCAAUUCCAUGAAAUACAUUUCUUCGAAAUCUCGUGUGAACAAAAUUAAUAAUAGGAAAUUUGCACAAGGCAUCAAAA
rnacentral:lncRNA from 1 species